rnacentral:lncRNA from 1 species
CUGAUUAAAGGAAAAAGUUCAGUUUAGGGUUUAGAACCCUAAUGCUGAUUGAAUGGAAAAGUUCAGUUUAGGGUUUAAAACCCUAAUGCUGACUAAAGGAAAAAGUUCAGUUUAGGGUUUAAAACCCUAAUGCUGACUAAAGGAAAAAGUUCAGUUUAGGGUUUAAAACCUUAAUGCUGACUGAAUGGAUAAGUUCAGUUUAGGGUUUAAAACCCUAAUGCUGACUAAAGGAAAAAAUCUAGUUUAGGGUUUAAAACCCUAAUGCUGACUAAAGGAAAGAGUUCAGUUUAGGGUUUAAACCCUAAUGCUGACUAAAUGGAAAAGUUCAGUUUAGGGUUUAAAACCCUGAUGCUGACUGAGUGGAAAUAGUUCAGUUUAGGGUUUAAAACCCUAAUGCUGAUUGAGUGGAAAAGUUCAGUUUAAGGUUUAAAACCCUAAAGGAAAAAGUUCAGUUCAGGGUUUAAAACCCUAAUGCUGACUAAAGGAAAGAGUUCAGUUUAGGGUUUAAAACCCUAAUGUUGACUGAAUGGAAAAGUUCAGUUUAGGGUUUAAAACCCUAAUGCUGACUAAAGGAAAAAGUUCAGUUUAGGGUUUAAAACCCUAAUGCUGACUAAAGGAAAGAGUUCAGUUUAGGGUUUAAAACCCUAAUGUUGACUGAAUGGAAAAGUUCAGUUUAGGGUUUAAAACCCUAAUGCUGACUAAAGGAAAAAGUUCAGUUUAGGGUUUAAAACCCUAAUGCUGACUGAAUGGGAAAGUUCAGUUUAGGGUUUAAAACCCUAAUGCUGACUAAAGGAAAAAGUUCAGUUUAGGGUUUAAAACCCUAAUGCUGAAUGAAUGGAAAAGUUCAGUUUAGGGUUUAAAACCCUAAUGCUGACUAAAGGAAAGAGUUCAGUUUAGGGUUUAAAACCCUAAUGCUGACUAAAAUGAAAAGUUCAGUUUAAGGUUUAAAAUCCUAAUGCUGACUAAAGGAAAAAUUU